rnacentral:rRNA from 1 species
AUUGAACGCUGGCGGCAUGCUUUACACAUGCAAGUCGAACGGCAGCACGGGGGCAACCCUGGUGGCGAGUGGCGAACGGGUGAGUAACACAUCGGAACGUGUCCAGUUGUGGGGGAUAACCCAUCGAAAGGUGGGCUAAUACCGCAUGAGCUGGCAACAGGAAAGCGGGGGACCCGCAAGGGCCUUGUGCGAUUGGAGCGGCCGAUGUCCGAUUAGCUAGUUGGUGGGGUAAAGGCCUACCAAGGCUUCGAUCGGUAGCUGGUCUGAGCGGAUGAUCAGCCACACUGGGACUGAGACACGGCCCAGACUCCUACGGGAGGCAGCAGUGGGGAAUUUUGGACAAUGGGGGCAACCCUGAUCCAGCCAUGCCGCGUGAGUGAAGAAGGCCUGG